UACCCAUUAUAGCGUCCAUUAGGUCAGUAUUUGAAUAAGUAGUAUUUUGGACAGUCUUUUUACUACGAGUGAUAACGUUAGUCACGGAGGAGGGCGUGUUGUCUUCAUUAUUACCAGGAGACAUCGUGAAUGCAUAUCAUAUCAGAUUAACGUUGACAAAAUUCAAAUUCACGUAUAAUACUGCAUUAGAUAAGCAGCCACUUCAUCUAAAUGUGUUAGAAGUUAGAAGGUUAAGUUAACGACAUAACGUUAGGUAAUCAAGUUGUGGCAAAAAUAUGACGAUUAAAUAGGCGGCCACACUGAUGUCUGACAGAAAUGAAGCAACGGUAGUCUUUAAUUCAAUAACUGAUAGUGAAUACUAUACUCACGAAUCACGAGUUGAUACUAUUGAAGCAACUUUUUAAUCUGUUAAAGACCGGGAAAAACACUGUGUGGUUACCGGAAAACACGUUCAGAUAACGUUUAACAGAUAACCACUGGUUAGAAACGAAAUUUGUACAUAAUAGCAUACGAAUAAUAUCCGAAAAAUAUUAAAAAUCAGAGAGUGACUGUUAUCAAAAGAUUAUCACAGUAAUUAACUUAUUAUUCAUUAUGUUUAAAAAUUAAUGAAA